rnacentral:pre_miRNA from 16 species
GGGUCUCUUCGCUAGACCAGAUAAGAGCCCGGGAGCUCUCUGGCUAGUGUAGAACCCAC